CCGUUUGUUCAAAAUAAUCGAAUAUCCCUUUAGAAUUUCACUCACGUCUUUAAAAACUAUUUAAAGCAAAGGCAAUAUUCGAUGUUUGGAAAUUCGGGGAAUAGUGCCCUAUCGUGCUGGGUUUUGAUUUCACGUUUGUUCAAAAUAAUCAAAUAUUCCUUUGGAAUUUCACUCGUGUUUUCUAAGGCGAGGCAAUGUUCAAUGUUUGGAAAUUCGAG
rnacentral:lncRNA from 1 species